rnacentral:rRNA from 1 species
CCUACGGGAGGCAGCAGUGGGGAAUAUUGCACAAUGGGCGCAAGCCUGAUGCAGCAACGCCGCGUGAGGGACGACGGCCUUCGGGUUGUAAACCUCUUUUAGUAGGGAAGAAGCGAAAGUGACGGUACCUGCAGAAAAAGCACCGGCUAACUACGUGCCAGCAGCCGCGGUAAUACGUAGGGUGCAAGCGUUAUCCGGAAUUAUUGGGCGUAAAGAGCUCGUAGGCGGUUUGUCGCGUCUGCUGUGAAAACUGGAGGCUCAACCUCCAGCCUGCAGUGGGUACGGGCAAACUAGAGUGCGGUAGGGGAGAUUGGAAUUCCUGGUGUAGCGGUGGAAUGCGCAGAUAUCAGGAGGAACACCGAUGGCGAAGGCAGAUCUCUGGGCCGUAACUGACGCUGAGGAGCGAAAGCAUGGGGAGCGAACAGGAUUAGAUACCCUGGUAGUCCAUGCCGUAAACGUUGGGCGCUAGAUGUGGGGACCAUUCCACGGUUUCCGUGUCGCAGCUAACGCAUUAAGCGCCCCGCCUGGGGAGUACGGCCGCAAGGCUAAAACUACAANAGUAGUGCGNGNGAGNGCGACGACGACGACGACGGAGGAG